UUUUAUUUUAUUGGAAAGGUUCCGGGAGUUCUUCAGUUAGAUGAAACUAAACAGAAGUUUAUAAACAGAGGUUAUGCAUCAAGGAUAAUUCUUGUUCUUCUAGAACAUCUCGAAUUCAAUUAUGAAAUAAUUGAGCGUUCUUAUAGAAAUAAACUAGCUGAUAUUUUCGUGCCAGUAGCUCAGAG